GACGAACGCUGGCGGCGUGCUUAACACAUGCAAGUCGAACGGUGAAGCGCCUUCCUUUUUGGUGGGUGUGGAUGAGUGGCGAACGGGUGAGUAACACGUGAGUAACCUGCCCCCUUCUUCUGGAUAACCGCAUGAAAGUGUGGCUAAUACGGGAUAUUCUGGGUCUGUCGCAUGAUGGGUCUGGGAAAGAUAUUGUUUCGGUGGGGGAUGGGCUCGCGGCCUAUCAGCUUGUUGGUGGGGUGAUGGCCUACCAAGGCGGUGACGGGUAGCCGGCCUGGGAGGGUGGACGGUCACACUGGGACUGAGCCACGGCCCCGACUCCUGCGGGAGGCAGCAGUGGGGAAUAUUGCACAAUGGGCGCAAGCCUGAUGCAGCGACGCCGCGUGAGGGAUGGAGGCCUUCGGGUUGUGAACCUCUUUCGCCAGUGAAGCAGGCCUGCCUCGUUUGUGGGUGGGUUGACGGUAGCUGGAGAAGAAGCGCCGGCUAACUACGUG
rnacentral:rRNA from 1 species